rfam:Hymenolepis nana genome assembly, scaffold: HNAJ_scaffold0002443
GGUGCGCGAUCGACUUACCUCCACGUGGUGCUCACUGGGCAACGUAUACUCAUACGGCAAAAAAGUCUAU